AUUGAACGCUGGCGGCAGGCCUAACACAUGCAAGUCGAACGAGUGGCGGACGGGUGAGUAAUGUCUGGGAAACUGCCUGAUGGAGGGGGAUAACUACUGGAAACGGUAGCUAAUACCGCAUACCAUCGGAUGUGCCCAGAUGGGAUUAGCUAGUAGGUGGGGUAAAGGCUCACCUAGGCGACGAUCCCUAGCUGGUCUGAGAGGAUGACCAGCAACACUGGAACUGAGACACGGUCCAGACUCCUACGGUAGGCAGCAGUGGGGAACAUUGCACAAUGGGCGCAAGCCUGAUGCAGCCAUGCCGCGUGUAGGAAGAAGGCCUUCGGGUUGUAAAGUACUUUCAGCGGGGAGGCGUUACCCGCAGAAGAAGCAUCGGCUAACUCCGUGCCAGCAGCCGCGGUAAUUC
rnacentral:rRNA from 1 species